CCUACGGGGGGCAGCAGUGAGGAAUAUUGGUCAAUGGGCGUAAGCCUGAACCAGCCAAGUCGCGUGAGGGAUGAAGGUUCUAUGGAUCGUAAACCUCUUUUAUAAGGGAAUAAAGUGUGGGACGUGUCCUAUUUUGUAUGUACCUUAUGAAUAAGGAUCGGCUAACUCCGUGCCAGCAGCCGCGGUAAUACGGAGGAUCCGAGCGUUAUCCGGAUUUAUUGGGUUUAAAGGGUGCGUAGGCGGCUUUUUAAGUCAGCUGUGAAAGUUUGUGGCUCAACCGUAGAAUUGCAGUUGAAACUGGCAGGCUUGAGUAUAGUAGAGGUGGGCGGAAUUCGUGGUGUAGCGGUGAAAUGCUUAGAUAUCACGCAGAACCCCGAUUGCGAAGGCAGCCUGCCGGAC
rnacentral:rRNA from 1 species